rnacentral:rRNA from 1 species
AAUCAACGCUGGCGGCGUGCCUCAGACAUGCAAGUCGAACGAUUAAGACUCUCUUCGGAGAGUGUAUAAAGUGGCGCACGGGUGAGUAACACGUAGGUAAUGUGCCUUUGGGUGGGGAAUAACUUAGGGAAACUUAAGCUAAUACCGCAUAAUGCAGCGGCUCGACAUCGAGACAGUUGUUAAAGAUUUAUCGCCUAAAGAGCAGCCUGCGGCAGAUUAGCUAGUUGGUAAGGUAAUGGCUUACCAAGGCGACGAUCUGUAUCCGACCUGAGAGGGUGGUCGGACACACUGACACUGAAUAACGGGUCAGACUCCUACGGGAGGCAGCAGUCGGGAAUUUUGGGCAAUGGGCGAAAGCCUGACCCAGCAACGCCGCGUGAAGGAUGAAGUAUUUCGGUAUGUAAACUUCGUAAGAAUAGGAAGAAUAAAUGACGGUACUAUUUGUAAGGUCCGGCUAACUACGUGCCAGCAGCCGCCGUAAUAC